GGAGUUUGGACCGUGUCUCAGUUCCAAUGUGGGGGACCUUCCUCUCAGAACCCCUACCGAUCGAAGGCUCGGUGGGCCGUUACCCCGCCGACUGCCUAAUCGGACGCAUCCCCAUCCCCUGGCGAUAAAUCUUUGCUCCUCCUCAGAUGCCAUCAAAGGAAAACAUAGGGUAUUAAUCCGACUUUCGCCGGGCUAUCCCUACCCGGGGGGAAGGGUUGGAUACGCGUUACUCACCCGUGCGCCGGUCGCCAUCGGUCAAAGCAAGCUUUGACCAUGUUGCCCCUCGACUUGCAUGUGUUAAGCCUGUAGCUAGCGUUCAUC
rnacentral:rRNA from 1 species